AGUCUCAUGGUGUAGUGGUUAUCACGUCUGCUUUACACACAGUGAAACGCAGAAGGCCGCCGGUUCAAUCCCGGCUGGGACUA